UACGAAGGGGGGCUAGCGUUGCUCGGAAUCACUGGGCGUAAAGCGCACGUAGGCGGAUCUUUAAGUCAGAGGUGAAAUCCCAAGGCUCAACCUUGGAACUGCCUUUGAUACUGGGGAUCUCGAGUCCGGAAGAGGUGAGUGGACCUGCGAGUGUAGAGGUGAAAUUCGUAGAUAUUCGCAAGAACACCAGUGGCGAAGGCGGCUCACUGGUCCGGUACUGACGCUGAGGUGCGAAAGCGUGGGGAGCAAACAGG
rnacentral:rRNA from 1 species